rnacentral:miRNA from 1 species
CAUGUGUGCAUUGUGGUAUAUGCCUGUGCACAUACACUUGCAUGUACAUAUGCACAUGCUCACACACAUACACACGCAAACACACAAAAAUA